rnacentral:rRNA from 1 species
AUGACGAUGGCCGCGCGGCCGAUCCCCUCCUGUCCCGCCACCGUCUCCCUGCCCGCCCCGCUCCUCUUUCUGCCGCCGAUUUCUCGGAAGCCGUCGGUCGCCUUAUCCUGCAGCAGCAGAGCACGCCGCGGCGCCCGAUGCUCUGCCGCGAACAAGCCCUCCCCUCCUCCCCCUUCUGGCGCCCCGGGCAACGAGGUAAGCGGCGGCAGCAGCAGCUCCAUGGCCAAGAUAAGGAGCGAGGUGCUGUCCCCCUUCCGGUCGGUGCGCAUGUUCUUCUACCUGGCCUUCAUGGCCAGCGCGGGCCUGGGUAGCCUCAUCGCGCUCACGCAGCUCCUCCCGGCGCUGGGGAACCCCGCGAGGGCGGCGGGGGUCCCGGAGACGCUCAAGGGCCUGGGCAUCGACGUGGCGGCGGUGGCCGUCUUCGCGUUCCUCUACUCGCGCGACCGCAAGGCCAGCGACGCGCAGGUGGCCAGGCUGACGCGGGAGGAGAACCUGUCGAGGCUCAAGCUCCGCGUCGGCGACGGCGGCCGGGUGGUGCCGCUGAGCGAGCUGCGGGGCAGCGCGCGGCUCGUCAUCGUCGCCGGCCCCGCCGAGUUCGUCGCCGAGUCGUUCCGCCGGAGCAGGCCGUUCCUCAGGGACCUCAUGGAGAGGGGCGUGCUGGUGCUGCCCUUCCCCACGGACGGCAACGCGCCGGCGCUGGAGUUCGGCGAGGAGGGCGACGGGGAGGGGGAGGCGGAGGCGGAGGACGAGGAGGUCGCCAGGAAGAGCAGGAGGCUCUGGCAGCUCACGCCGGUGUACACCUCCGAGUGGGCAAAAUGGUUGGCUGAGCAGAAGAAGAUGGCGAAUGUGACGCCUGAUUCCCCUGUGUGGGUAGCAAUGCAGAUUCGUCUGAACAUUUCAGCUGUUCGGGUUGUUGGAUUGUUGAUGAUCGAAUUGCUUGUGCGCAGGUACCUAUCGCUGAGGAUGGACGGGCGCGUCCGGGGCAGCGGCGUGGGCUACCCGCCAUGGCAAGCGUUCGUGGCGCAGCUGCCGCAGGUCAAAGGGAUGUGGUCGGGUCUUUUUGAUGGGAUGGACGGGAGAGUCUAG